rnacentral:rRNA from 1 species
CCUACGGGAGGCAGCAGUGAGGAAUAUUGGUCAAUGGCCGAGAGGCUGAACCAGCCAAGCCGCGUGAGGGAAGACGGCUCUACGGGUUGUAAACCUCUUUUGUCGGGGAGCAAAGCGAGUCACGUGUGACUCAUUGAGAGUACCCGAAGUAAAAGCAUCGGCUAACACCGUUCCAGCAGCCGCGGUAAUACGGGGGAUGCGAGCGUUGUCCGGAUUUAUUGGGUUAAAGGGGUGCGCAGGCGGGGGUGCAGGUCAGCGGUCAAAUGGCGGGGCGCAACCCCGGACUGCCGUUGAAACUGCAUCGCUUGAGUGCGCGAGAAGUAGGCGGAAUGCGUGGUGUAGCGGUGAAAUGCAUAGAUAUCACGCAGAACUCCGAUUGCGAAGGCAGCAUACCGGCGCGCAACUGACGCUGAUGCACGAAAGCGUGGGGAUCGAACAGGAUUAGAUACCCGUGUAGUC